rnacentral:rRNA from 1 species
UUUCCGUAGGUGAACCUGCGGAGGGAUCAUUAC